GCUCAGAACGCAGUCGAGCGUCCUACGCAGAGGGAGCGGCGGACGGUUAGUAACGCCUAGGAAUCACCCCCUAGGUAAGGAAUAGCUCACCGAAAGGCGGGGUAAUACCUAUGGUCUCACGAGUAAAGUACGUAACAGUACGCCAAGGGAUUGAGCCCUGUCGUCCUAUCCAGGUUUGUUAGGUGGGGUAAUAGGCCCACCAAGCCAACGACGGGUAGCUUGGUCUGAGAAGAAGGUCAGCAAGAGGGGGACUGAGACACGGCCCCCAUCCUUACGGGAGGCAGCAUUCAGGAAUAGUAGACAUGGACGAAAGUCUGAUCUCGCGAUACCGCGUGCAGGAUGAAUUCUAACCGAACCGUAAACUGCUGUGGUAGAGGAAGAAGUUAGUUCUUUGACCAANUGGACGGUACUCUACUAGAAAGGAGCCGUUAACUGCGCCAUAAGCGUCGUAACAC
rnacentral:rRNA from 1 species